GGAAAAUGUUCAGUUUGCCACCAGAGCUCGUCUGGAGCACAACUCGUCUCGGAAAACUACAAAUUUCAAAAAGCCCCAAAAUUCUUUGUAAUGCGACGGAAAUAUUUUGGUUAGCUUUUUGUGUUCGCAACACACCGACGCACACGUACACAGAGAAUCAUAAUGCCAUGCAAGUUAAACAGAUGAAAGCCAUACAUACACCCAUUUUAAUGAACUGAGUGCAGCUGCCAACACAAUCAUUUUAGCUGCUUACCGGUCAAAACUUACACAAAUGAUGAAACUAAUGAUGAUCGUUCCGCAUACCCUAGGUUAGAUGAUCGCCUGGUCUUUUUAUAGGUAGAAGGGGAUUCAAAUCGAUGGUACCGGUCCCAGUGGACGAGAGGAUUGCAUCGUUUGAAUACAACUGUGAAUGCUGUUGUUAAAUGCUAUGGUUGAGCCAACCAUGCAGUCCGUUGAAUGUUAACCUUUCGCUUGCCCUGUCUUAAAUAAACGCAAUUCAUCGAAAACACAUUAAAAAAAGUUUUGAUCUG